UACGUAGGGACCGAGCGUUGUCCGGAAUCAUUGGGCGUAAAGAGCGUGUAGGCGGCCUUUUAAGUCCUGCGUGAAAUCCUGCGGCUCAACCGCAGACGGUCGUGGGAAACUGGAAGGCUAGAGUGCGGGAGAGGAGAGUGGAAUUCCCGAUGUAGCGGUGAAAUGCGCAGAUAUCGGGAAGAACACCCGUGGCGAAGGCGGCUCUCUGGAACGCAACUGACGCUGAGACGCGAAAGCGUGGGGAGCAAACGGG
rnacentral:rRNA from 1 species